UUCCACCUCCGCUGAAGCUGCCGGGAGGCCGCGGUGGACGCGCGCCGCCUCCCACCUCCAAGCGGGACAGGUAGAGGGACGCCGCUGCUGACCUCCAAGUCGGGUGCAGGAGAGGGAGACGGCGGACUGGGAUCCGCGACCCAAUCCCCUACGCCUACCAGGUCGUGGUUGCGGCCUUGGUUCGGGCGGGUGCCGCGGUUGGAGGGGAGGUGGAGGCGGAGCUCGAUUUGGAGGGUGCAGAGCUCGAUUCGUCGGCGGCGAAGGUCGAUUUGGUGGCGACUGAGGUCGAUCCGGCAGUGGACCUACAACUGGCCGAAUCCCGCCACGGCACAGCCGGCCGAGGCAAGGCCCUUCGCUGGCGGCGAAGGUGGGGGCACCCUGCCCCAAAGAGCGCCGCUGGCGAUUGCCGAGGUGACAUCAAGGCCCAAGGCAGCGGAGUGGGGAGGACCAGAUGUGGCAUAUGCACGGCAUAGGCAGUGGUCGUGGGGGCGUUCACUAGAGAUGCAGCAGUAGCUUGAAAGGGGGUAGGCAGCAACACUUGAGGGGUCGAUGCCGCCGGCCGCCGGCAACAAAGCCAAGCAAGGUCCCCGCUGCUCCACGCCUGCGUGCGACGCCCCACCGCGGUGGCCUCCAUCUCCGCCAUGCUCAACGCCCCCGCCACGCGGCCACCCUCCCGCGCGGAUCCCCCAGGCUCGUGGGCCGCCUCCUCCACUGCAGCGCCACUGGGGUCCUCCGCUGCGCUGCUGGGGCGCGAGCCCUCCUCUCCGCCUGGGCGGCCCCCUCCUUUCCUGUUCAAGCCUGAUUUGCAUGAUUUAGCACUUGUUCUGCAGUUUUGGAUUAAGGCAUUGGUGGCCCAAGCAAUUGAAGCCAAAAAAGUGAAGGAUCGGAGGGUGUUGGCAUGGCAUCAGUGGGGUGGACGUGGAUGAGGCCAUGCUGAGAUUCUAUGAGAUCAUUUACAAGCGUCAGGAAAUGUCUUCGAUGCUGCAAUCAGAAAAUACAAAAGAUUAUUUGGCACAUAGAAGCACAGAAUCUGUUCACAGAUCCACAAGAUUUCUGAUAGGCGAUGAUAUGGAGCAAAAGGCAGCAGGAAUUGUACUUUGGGACAUGCUCUGGUCAUGCUUUAGAACUACAAUUUGCAUCUGUAAAGGGAUCCUUGUGUUUGCAGUUCUGCCGUCGGACCCAAAAGUAAAUGGAACAAAAAGCAAGUUUCAACUUUGGUUACUAUUCUCACUAUUGUUGCAGGCGUACCUCAAAUACCACUUGAGGCCUCAAUUUGGGAUCCUACAAUACUGCAACAGCCUUAGAUUUGCUGCAACAGAUGAGUACUAUACUGCACUCUGCGUGUUGUUAUAUCCAUUUAGCUGAAAUGUGGCUAAACCAAGAGGUACCGACCAUUGAUCAAGGCAAUGGAAUAUAUGGCACUGAACCAACUGAAACUUCACUGACAUUUCGGUCUGACGAGGUGCUGCGUCCAAGCCACAGUCUUCCGCCUGGAUUGGCCCAGCAGAGCUAGGUCUUGGAGCCAAAAGGAGGGGCGAUGCCCCGCUUCCAACCCACGGAAUAAGUAAAA